UAAAUGGUGUCCAGUCAUUAGGACUUUGGAGU
rnacentral:piRNA from 1 species